UACGUAGGGUGCAAGCGUUGUCCGGAAUUAUUGGGCGUAAAGCGCGCGCAGGCGGUCCUUUAAGUCUGAUGUGAAAGCCCACGGCUCAACCGUGGAGGGUCAUUGGAAACUGGGGGACUUGAGUGCAGAAGAGGAGAGUGGAAUUCCACGUGUAGCGGUGAAAUGCGUAGAGAUGUGGAGGAACACCAGUGGCGAAGGCGACUCUCUGGUCUGUAACUGACGCUGAGGCGCGAAAGCGUGGGGAGCGAACAGG
rnacentral:rRNA from 1 species